rnacentral:rRNA from 1 species
ACGAGAAAGCGGGGGCAACUCCGUGAGUAAAGUGGCGCACGGGUGAGUAACACGUGACUAACCUACCUUGGAGUUCGGAAUAACCUCGGGAAACCGGGGCUAAUACCGGAUAACACCUACGGGUCAAAGGAGCAAUUCGCUCUGAGAGGGGGUCGCGGCUGAUUAGCUAGUUGGCAGGGUAAUGGCCUACCAAGGCGACGAUCAGUAUCCGGCCUGAGAGGGCGCACGGACACACUGGAACUGAAACACGGUCCAGACUCCUACGGGAGGCAGCAGUGGGGAAUUUUGCACAAUGGGGGAAACCCUGAUGCAGCAACGCCGCGUGGAGGAUGAAGUACUUCGGUACGUAAACUCCUUUCGAUCGGGACGAUAAUGACGGUACCGGAAGAAGAAGCCCCGGCUAACUUCGUGCCAGCAGCCGCGGUAAUACGAGGGGGGCAAGCGUUGUUCGGAAUUAUUGGGCGUAAAGGGUGCGUAGGCGGUUUGGUAAGUCUUUUGUGAAAUCUAUGGGCUCAACUCAUAGACUGCAAGGGAAACUGCCGGGCUUGAGUGUGGGAGAGGUGAGUGGAAUUUCCGGUGUAGCGGUGAAAUGCGUAGAUAUCGGAAGGAACACCAGUGGCGAAGGCGGCUCACUGGCCCGGAACUGACGCUGAGACGCGAAAGCGUGGGGAGCAAACAGGAUUAGAUACCCUGGUAGUCCACGCUGUAAACGAUGGAUGCUAGCCGUUGGGGAGCUUGCUCUUCAGUGGCGCAGCUAACGCUUUAAGCAUCCCGCCUGGGGAGUACGGUCGC